GGAAAACCUAGGUGUCAUCGCCCCUGGAAUUUUUCUUCCAUCGAUGUUCAGUUUCAGUCCAGUCCGGCUGUCUGUCCACCUGCAGCUUUUGCUCCGACCGAAUUUGCCGGCUCUGGGGUUUCCCAUGUCUUUACACUUAAAUCUUUUUCGCUUUUCAUUUGGAUAUUUACAUGUGCGAGUUGAGCUGUUGGACGAUAAGAUUUACUUUUUUUCUAGAUGUUUUUGUGUUAAUGACUGGCAAAAAAGACAGUACGAAAAUGUUCCUGGAAUGAAAUAGUCGACCUGCUGUGUCCAAGAGGGAUACUCUACUUAAGAUUGCUUUUUGGAGGGCCAGGGAAUUAGCUCACUGGUUCCACCGGCUGCCUUGUGAGUGCAAGGAUCUGAAUUCGAUCCCUGGUACCAAAAAAUAAAAAAGAAAAGAAAAGAAG
rnacentral:lncRNA from 1 species